UACUUUUCCCCGUCGGAAGCACAAAUCCUCAUGGAGGCAUACGAGGAGGUAAAAGAUAUAAUUAAGAAGAAAGGCAACACCGCCACAGUGAUAAAGCAAAGAGAAAAAGCGUGGCAAAGUAUUGCAGACCGCCUGAAUGCAUUAAACAUGAACGGGCCAAAACGGACAUGGCAGCAGGUCAAAAUCAAAUACAAGAACAUUCUGCAGAAUGCAGUGAAAAAGAAUACCCACAGACAAGGCACGGGUGGUGGGUCACCAAAGGCUGACCUUACCCCAGCAGAGGACAUGGCCUUGGAGCUAAAUAAAGGCAGGCCCGUCUUAGAGGGGAUCCCUGGGGGGAAAGAGACGAGCAUAGGUUCCUCCCAAGAUGCCACCCGCUUCAUUCAAGCACUGUGUUCCUGUUAGAGCCACCAGCACAAGCACCAGACGAUGCUGAUCCAGGUGAAGGCCCCAGUGCAGCAGCAACAGCACAUGAUGGAGACGAUGAUGAGGAGGAGACCAUCUCUCUGGAUUCCAGAAGGCAUGAGGACCCAGAUGCUAUACAGUGGGAAAACCAGCCUGGCAACAUAAGCUCACAAGCUAUCAGAAAGUUGUAUGGCAACCACCUCCGGCGCCAAAUAGAACUGGCAGACAUAGACAUUCAGUACAAGAAGAAAAAGAUGGAAAAUCUUGCACUGGAGUCCGAAAUAAAAAAGAGGACAAUUAGGAAACUGGACCUUGAAAUAAAAAAACUUGAGAGGGAGCUCCAAGAAGAUGACACAGCUCAAAAUAAAAAUUAGGUAUAUUCUCGUAAAGUCAAGUGAGCCAUGACAUAUGAGCUCUUAUUGUGAGCACACAGGACGGUGGCAUCUUUCUAAGGUUUUUUUUAUUUUCCCAGCAAUCAGUACAACCAAGUCAUCGUUAUAAGGCAUCGCCCUCUUUUGCCCACCCCCCCAGCACCUGGUGUGGCCACUAGCCUAUAUGAAGGCCCAAAAUUGUGUGUUCCUUUCUGCUCUGACAAUGGCAUGCCCAUUCGUGCGAGAUGUGGUGGAUGAAGAAGCACUUGUGCUGAGGAGAGCCUUCAGGCGAGAAAGGGUCUUCAGGGACCGGUUGGACCCACUGGCCUUCCCUGAUGACCAUCUAUAUGAAAGAUACAGGUUUUCUGCAGAUGGCAUCAGGUAUCUAUGCAGACUACUGGGUCCCAGGAUUAAGCACCGCACUGCACGGAGCCAUGCACUGAGUGUGGAGCAAAUGGUUUGUGUGGCCUUGCGCUUUUUGCUAGUGGAGCCUUCCUGUACUCAGUGGGGGAUGCAGAACAGCUGAACAAGGCCACAAUUUGCCGCACAAUAAGGAGUGUGUGUCUGGCUAUCAAAGCAUUAGCAGAUGUCUUCAUCUCCUUCCCUGGCCACAGAAGACUCUGUGACAUCAAAGAGGAGUUCUAUAGGAUUGCAGAUGGUCUGCAAUGCUGACUGUGUGAUCAGCAAUGUUGUGGCAAAAUGGCCUGGCUCAGUCCAUGACUCCAGAAUCUUUCGGG